GACGAACGCUGGCGGCAUGCUUAACACAUGCAAGUCGAACGAAGUGGCGAACGGGUGAGUAACGCGUAAUCAACCUGCCCUUCAGAGGGGGACAACAGUGGGAAACGACUGCUAAUACCGCAUAGUGAAGUAGGGGAGUGCGUCUGAUUAGCUAGUCGGAGGGGUAAAGGCCCACCCAGGCGAUGAGCAGUAGCCGGUCUGAGAGGAUGAACGGCCACAUUGGGACUGAGACACGGCCCCGACUCCUACGGGAGGCAGCAGUGGGGAAUCUUCCGCAAUGGACGAAAGUCUGACGGAGCAACGCCGCGUGAGUGAUGACGGCCUUCGGGUUGUAAAGCUCUGUUAAGCGGGACGCGGUACCGGAAUAGAAAGCCACGGCUAACUACGUGCCAGCAGCCGCGGUAAUUG
rnacentral:rRNA from 1 species